AACGAACGCUGGCGGUAGGCUUAACACAUGCAAGUCGAACGCCCCGCAAGGGGAGUGGCAGACGGGUGAGUAACGCGUGGGAAUCUACCUAGUUCUACGGAACAACAGUUGGAAACGACUGCUAAUACCGUAUACGCCCUAUGGGGGAAAGAUUUAUCGGAAUUAGAUGAGCCCGCGUAAGAUUAGCUAGUUGGUGGGGUAAUGGCCUACCAAGGCGACGAUCUUUAGCUGGUCUGAGAGGAUGAUCAGCCACACUGGGACUGAGACACGGCCCAGACUCCUACGGGAGGCAGCAGUGGGGAAUAUUGGACAAUGGGCGCAAGCCUGAUCCAGCCAUGCCGCGUGAGUGAUGAAGGCCUUAGGGUUGUAAAGCUCUUUCACCGAUGAAGAUAAUGACGGUAGUCGGAGAAGAAGCCCCGGCUAACUUCGUGCCAGCCGCCGCCGUAACAC
rnacentral:rRNA from 1 species